UAGCUAUUUGAGUACACUCAAUCUUUCACUUGUCGAAGUGUGGUAAAUGCAGUGCACUACAAGUACCCGGAUGGUGCACUCAUAACGGUCAAAAAGUUGAGUGUGGAUCGAUGGACACUUUCCACCCUCAACGGUCGCCAUCUUGGCUACGUAGCGGAAGGGGCGGAGCUCACAAAAGGUGAAAAACUUUCGAUAAUGGCGGCCGAAUACGCGACAGCGAGACCCACGGAGUAUUACAAAUGGACACGGACGUGGCCGUCAAUGCUGCCAACUUGAGGGAAGUCCUCCUCUGCUGGAAGGCCAACGACCUGGGGGAGGAGAGAGAGGAUUUCCCUGCUGGUAUUGUGGACAGAACGGUGCACAGCAAAGGCUCUGGCUAAACCACGAUAAGAGGUACCGCUGGCGAGCCAAAAGAGGAAGACAAGGGUCCCCAGCCAUGGUCACACGCCGUGCCGAGGAUGUACCGUUAAAGGAUCCCCCUGGAGAGUCUGAAGUCCACCAUCAGAUCACUUUCCCCAUCAAAGUACAGGGCCAGCAAUGAAUAGA